CUGUGUUUUUUAUCAUUGCUCUCGGUCUGCUUCUAGUUUAGCUGCUGAAGUUAAACUUUUAUUGCAUCAUAGGCUUAUCAGUAUUAGCAAAAAGAAACUUUCUGCCCAGGAUAAUCGUUUACUAGCUCAGUUCACUAUGUAAUUGUUUAGUGUUCUGCUCUGUUUUUCCCUGUAUUGGUUUUUCUUUUAGCUUGCUGUGAGUUGUUUUUUGAGGCUUGUUGUUAGCCGUUGGUUGUUUGAGUUGGUUUAGUGUGUAUCUUUGCUUGUUUGAUUAAUGAAGUUCAUCCUUUCUUCUUGAUAAAAAAAAAGCAUUGUAGUAUCUACGUUUUUUCAUGUGGGUGGGCAGGAUAUGUUUUUAUCAAGGUAAAUAAUUUAUUUUUAUCACAUGGCAUCUAAUGUGAACAUAUUGCUUUCAGGGGAAUCAACAACGAAGAGAAAGUACAUCUGAGGCAAAAACUGGUAUCCCAUUUAAGAGAAGAAAACUAUCAGACAACUCUCAUGUUGGCUAUGCUCAUCUCAAAAAUUGCUCGAAUUGAUUAUCCAGUAGAAUGUCUCUUCUGUGUAGUGAGUCCAGGGUUAAAGAAUGUCCGGGCCUUUGCCUCUGCAUCGUGGCAUAUCUUCUGGGACACGAGGCUCUGGAGGGAGCAAUGAUUUCAGCGACUCUUAAAUGAAAGAUAAAACAGAAAAGGAUGAUUUGGAUAGAAGAGGUUCAUCUGAUCAGAGUGCCUUUGGGAUGAAUGUGAGUGUAAUUAUCAUUCUCCUUUCUUUCCUACAUAAACCUAUCCUCAUAAAUUUAUAUUAAUGGUAUUAGUAAAUUAAUCUUGAUACAGUUGUUGGUUUAAUGGUAUUGGUUUGCCACUAUUGUUUUGAUAAAGCCUUUGACAAGUUCUAUGACAUGUACAAUGCAACUUGGUAUGAUAUGGAUAUGUUUAGAGCUGUUAUUAUCUUCAUAAUUGAUCAACAUUUUCACUUCAUAAUUGACAUAAAUCCAAACUAUAUUACAGGAAAGGUUAUGGGUUGUAGAUAUUGAUACAAUGUGGAUUAUAUAUAUACAUAUAUGUUAUGUAAUGCUGUUUAUUUAGGUUGUAAUUUUUACUUUGAAUUAGAUAUAUUAAUAUGAUUUAAGCAUUAUUUUGAUGAGAUUUCAGUCGACAUUGUUUAUGCUAUGUUUUGUUACUCCAUUGUUUAUCCUAAUUCCUAUAAAUAUUUAUAUUUUUGUACAAAUAUGGCAAUCUUUGUUUCUUCCAUUAUCUUUGGCAAAAUAAAAAUAUCUCUUAAAUGAUGAAAUCUCUGAUUAUCUGAGCAUGUAAUCUUUAGCAAGAGCUUCUCUUUACCAUGAAAUCAUCUGAUCAAGAAUAUAAUGCACUUUUAAUGGCUUGAAUUCAAACUUUCUUGACUAUGUAGUCUAAUUGUAUCGUAUAUGAUGUAUGUGAUUAUGAAGUGGCUGUAAUUACUAGAAUUCAAGUAUAUUCUAGUUCUAUAUGCAUUAAGGAUUGUAGUUUUGUUAAAUUUGUUUUCUUUAUUGUUGGAAUGCAAUUCUCUUUUUCUUUUCU